rnacentral:tRNA from 1 species
GCCAGCGUGGCGGAAUUGGUAGACGCAGUGGACUCAAAAUCCACCGGUGUAAAAGCCGUAUGGGUUCGACUCCCAUCGUUGGUA